rnacentral:rRNA from 1 species
GGGCAUCCCGGAGGCAGGAAAGGCUUCGGCCGGACAGGGAUGGGCAUGCGGCGCAUUAGGCAGUAGGCGGGGUAACGGCCCACCUAACCGACGAUGCGUAGGGGUUCUGAGAGGAAGGUCCCCCACACUGGUACUGAGACACGGACCAGACUCCUACGGGAGGCAGCAGUGAGGAAUAUUGGUCAAUGGUCGGGAGACUGAACCAGCCAAGCCGCGUGAGGGAUGAAGGUACAGAGUAUCGUAAACCUCUUUUGUCAGGGAACAAAGGCGGGGACGUGUCCCCGGAUGAGUGUACCUGAAGAAAAAGCAUCGGCUAACUCCGUGCCAGCAGCCGCGGUAAUACGGAGGAUGCGAGCGUUAUCCGGAUUUAUUGGGUUUAAAGGGUGCGCAGGCGGUCUGUUAAGUCAGCGGUCAAAGCCCGGGGCUCAACCCCGGCCCGCCGUUGAAACUGGCAGUCUCGAGUUGGAGAGAAGUAUGCGGAAUGCGCGGUGUAGCGGUGAAAUGCAUAGAUAUCGCGCAGAACUCCGAUUGCGAAGGCAGCAUGCCGGCUCCACACUGACGCUGAGGCACGAAAGCGUGGGUAUCGAACAGGAUUAGAUACCCUGGUAGUCCACGCAGUAAACGAUGAAUGCUGGCUGUCCGGGGGGAUUGACCCCUGGCCCCGAAG